CCUACGGGGGGCUGCAGUGGGGAAUAUUGCGCAAUGGGCGAAAGCCUGACGCAGCGACGCCGCGUGAGGGAUGAAGGUCUUCGGAUCGUAAACCUCUGUCAGCAGGGAAGAACGGUCACUGUGCUAAUCAGCAGUGAAUUGACGGUACCUGCAAAGGAAGCACCGGCUAACUCCGUGCCGGCAGCCGCGGUAAUACGGAGGGUGCGAGCGUUAAUCGGAAUUACUGGGCGUAAAGCGCUCGUAGGCGGUAUGGCAAGUCAAGGGUGAAAUCCCCGCGCUCAACGUGGGAACUGCCUUUGAAACUGGCAAACUGGAGUGUGUGAGAGGAUAGUGGAAUUCCAGGUGUAGGAGUGAAAUGCGUAGAUAUUUGGAGGAACACCAGUGGCGAAGGCGACUAUCUGGCACAUAACUGACGCUGAGGAGCGAAAGCGUGGGUAGCAAACAGGAUUAGAUACCCUUGUAGUC
rnacentral:rRNA from 1 species